AGAGACCGGAAGCUGGGUAUCCACCGCCUGAGUUCAAGAAAGCCGAGCUCCCACUCCAUGAGAUCGAGUUCGGCGCCUGGGUUCAAGGAGAGUCGGGUGAUGACCAUAUGUCCUGUCUCAUGGCUGCCUCUCCAUCCUCCCAGAAACCCGGUGGUUUCUCUCUUUCCGCUACUGCUCCUCUCAUCUGAACCGUCAGCAAAUCCUAUUUCAUUUCCUAAGCAGUAGCCAGAAGCAUUUUCCAUGAAUAAUCAGUCCUCUGCCACAACCUGCUGAUGUCUUCCCAUUGUUCUGGGAUGACAAGGGAAUUCUGACCUCAGUCUACCAGGUCCCUCUGUUCCAGCCCCCAUCUCCCCGAGCUUCUCACUCAAUGGCCCCAGGGCCUUUGCGCUCUUGCUUUGAAGGAUACUGGUUAAGAACGCAAACUCUGGCAAACAGACAGUUUAGGUGAAAUCUAGGCCUGGCCAACUGCCACUUCUACAUCUUCCAAAGAAGUUCUUAAACUCCACGUGCCUGUUUACUCAUUUGCAAAAGGGGGAUACUUGGUCAUAGUUACCUGCC